rnacentral:rRNA from 1 species
CACGUAGGGGGCAAGCGUUGUCCGGAAUCAUUGGGCGUAAAGCGCGUGUAGGCGGCUCGAUAAGUCUGCUGUAAAAGUCCAGGGCUCAACCCUGGAAAGCCGGUGGAAACUGUCGAGCUAGAGUCCGGAAGAGGCGAGUGGAAUUCCUGGUGUAGCGGUGAAAUGCGCAGAUAUCAGGAGGAACACCAAUGGCGAAGGCAGCUCGCUGGGACGGUACUGACGCUGAGACGCGAAAGCGUGGGGAGCAAACAGG